rnacentral:lncRNA from 1 species
UACAGUGUAUCCUGAAAGCCUGAGUUCAGGCGCAGAGAUGAACUUGGCUGUUACAUCUAAAGAGGAAUUUCCAUCCUAAAAAGGAAAGUGCUCUGAUGCAAAGACCCUGUUACUUUAAUGCUGUGCUUUUAGACAAGUUGGGAAGGGAACUCCUAAGUGUCUGGUACUAGCCACUGGUCACCCAGUUAGAAAAUGUGCCUGCAGGAUUCAAACCCAAUUAGCUUUCCACAAGUGCCAAAAAACUCUUGCCAGCUUCCUGGUCUCUGCACAGAAUUGUGGCUGACAGACAGGGAACAUAAAUCACGACAUUUUAUUCAAAGACAAUAAAUGCACCAACUCAACUAACACAACCUGAAGACAAGCCAGAAUAACUCUAGAAGGAGAAAAAGGUAACAUCUGAACAUGUCCUCAGCUGAGGUGUUCCUGUAAGAGACAGAAGACGAGACACAGAUAAAGAAGAGAAGUCCUCAUGGAGAUGGAGGCAGGACUGGAGUGAUGCGGCCACAAGCCCAGGGAAGCCUGAAGUCCCCCAGAAAUGGGAGAGGCAGGAAGGAUUCUCCCCUAGAGCCUCCAAAGGGAGCACCACCCGGAGACACCUUGAUUUCAGAUUUCUGGUGCCCAGAAAUGGUAGAGAAUAAAUUUCUGUUGUUUAAGCCUCCCGGUCUGUGACACUUUUGCUACAGCAGCCCCAGAAAACUCAAACACAACACUCUGUGUGUGUGCUCCUACAGUAACUUCCAUAUACCUCUCAUGGGAGAGGAAGGGGAUUAUUCUUCCAACAAGAUGGAGACUUGCACACAUGCCUUGUAGACACAGAGGAAGCAAAAAGCACAGAAAAGUACUCAGAGGCUUCGCAGACACGUGGGAGACCCUCCUCAGUUGGUAAAACGCCACAGCAAUACCUUACAAUGGGCACAGAACUGUAACAUAAGGAGUGAUCUUCUUUUCUGAGGAGCCAAGGCUAAGAAAACUGAUUCUCGCUGAAAAAGAAAGCAUUUCCAAUGCACACCAGACAUAAAUAAUUCAUGCAAACCAACAUGAAUUAUUUUAGUACGUGGCUUUCAUAAAGUAACUUCUUUGUCUUCAUUAUAUAACCCCUAAAACUUCUCAAAGACUACUCUCAGACUUGUUAAAGCUGAAAAAGCUUAACUAUACAUAUAAACACUGUCAUAUAUCAAAGGCAUAUUUCACCUUACAAAGCAUGCUCACUAGGGCUUUGCUCACGAGACACCAAAAACACGUUCAGUUGCACUUCACCCUGAAAGCAGAAUCUCUUAUCCCUGAAUCAGAAGGGACGUAGGCACACGAAGUCCCAGGGAGAAAAGAGGCAUAUAUAUCGUGCUGAGUUAACAAGAUUUGGCACUUGUCUUUUUCACAGGAAAAGAAGGAACAUGAAAGAUAAGGAUUUUGGCAGUCUCACUAAUUUUUAUAUGGGACGCGGGAUGGGAGAUGAACCCUACCGGAGAUGAUUAUAAAUACCAGUUUGUCUUUGAAACCAGUUUUACGAAUUAAUGCAAUGCCUUAUUUCUUUCUUCUGGAGGAGUCUGUGGUCUCCUUUCAUCCUCAGAUUCUUCGUAGAAGAAAACUGCUCAGAUGUCCUGAGCAAAAUGAUCAAAUUCCAAAACCCAGGGUUUAAGAAAGCAGACAGAAAGCCACAGAGAGGGGAAGUGGUUAAAGAGAGGGGACAUUCCAAAAAGACAGCCACUUAGCACAAACAAUUCAAAUUCCAGUGUUGUUGGUGCCAGAAUCCUUUUCACUGUUGGUGAUGGGAUUUUGAGAAAAGUGUUUCAAAUAGAAGAAUUUGAGGUGUCUUAAAAAUGGGUUUCCAAAGAAAGUGGAGGAGGCGUGAAAAGAUUCCAUUAUCCAGUUGAGAUCGUCAAGUAUCCUGCUGAUCUAUGUGCGGGUCUGGAUACACACAGCCUUCAGGAACUUGGGCACAAACAAAAUCUACUGUGAUGGUUAACACUGAGUGUCAACUGGACUGAUUGAAGGAUGCAAAGUACUGUUCCUGGGUGUGCCUGUGAGGGUGUUGCCAAAGGAGGUGAACAUUUGAGUCAGUGAACUGGGAGAGGCAGACCCACCCUCAGUCUAAGUGGGCACUGUCUCAUCAGCUGCCAGCACAGGUAGGAUAAAGCAGGUAGGAGAAGAUGGAAAAGCAGACUUGCUUAGUCUUCUGGCCUUUAUCUUUCUCCUGUGCUGGAUGCUUCCUGCCCUCGAACAUCAGACUCCAAGUUCUUGGACUUACACCAGUGGUUUGCCAGAGCCUCUCGGGCCUUCGGCCACAGACAGACAGCUGCACUGUUGGCUUCCCUACUUCUGAGGUUUUGGGACUCAGACUGGUUUCCUUGCUCCUCAGCUUGCAGAAGACCUGUUGUGGGACUUCAUUUUGUGAUUGUGGGUCAUUGGGCCACAUCCAGGAAGAACUACCAGAGAAAUCAGCCCAGGCUCAGUCAGCUACAAGUCCCAGGACUGUGGAAGCCAGGGGUCUCCAGAGACAGAGCACCCCACAUCUGAAAGGGCUGAGACACACAGCCCUUGGCCGCUCUAGGAUUCAGUGAUUCCCAACGCGUAUCCUGAAACUCUGAUAAAACAAUGUGCCUCUGUCUCCUGAGUGAAACCGUUUAUGGAGUUAAGUUUACCAGCAUCUGUUUAUUUGGCUACACUGUGAAUGUUAAACAGUUUUUAGAGGUUAUCUGAAUAACUGGCACAGGUGAAAUAAAAUGAAAUAAAAUGUUGUGUUUCCCUCCUUGUGUGCUGGGUUAACUCUUUUGGGAUAUAACAAAGCUUUGAUAUGCCAGCUUUAUAGAUGAUUGAUACUGUGUGCUUGGGUCUUAUUAGCAAUUAAUUACAUCAUUCAUUCAUUCAUUCAUUCAUCAAUUCACCCAUUCAACAGAUGCCUACCCAAAGGUCUUCACAUGCCCAGAAUUUUCCUGGUCACUGGUCAUAACAACAGAGACCUUAUGGAUUUUACAGAGCAGCAAAAGAG